GAGUUUGAUCAUGGCUCAGAUUGAACGCUGGCGGCAUGCCUUACACAUGCAAGUCGAACGGCAGCACGGGAGCUUGCUCCUGGUGGCGAGUGGCGAGCGGGUGAGUAAUGCAUCGGAACGUAUCCUGGAGUGGGGGAUAACGUAGCGAAAGUUACGCUAAUACCGCAUAUUCUGUGAGCAGGAAAGCGGGGGACCUUCGGGCCUCGCGCUCUUGGAGCGGCCGAUGUCGGAUUAGCUAGUUGGUGAGGUAAAGGCUCACCAAGGCGACGAUCCGUAGCAGGUCUGAGAGGAUGAUCUGCCACACUGGAACUGAGACACGGUCCAGACUCCUACGGGAGGCAGCAGUGGGGAAUUUUGGACAAUGGGGGCAACCCUGAUCCAGCCAUGCCGCGUGAGUGAAGAAGGCC
rnacentral:rRNA from 1 species